CAGAAGGGCUCUUAGAGGUCUGCCCAGGCCUGGCAAAGAGAGGGAGGUCCCUGCCGGACUGUGUCUCAAGGCCAGGUCAGCUCCCAUUCCUGCCCACAGUCUCCAGGGACACGCUGGACUCUAGGGUGGAAGGCAAGAGCUGAAGAGGCAAAGAAACAUCUGGAGAGGGCUGAUGAUGUUCUGCUUCUGGACGUGUGUUUGGGUCAUGUGGGUCUUUGAGACGUCAAAGCUGGAUACUCAUGAUAAGGAAAUAGAGGCUCAGAGAAGUUCAGUGACUUGCCCAAGGUUACAAGGCCCAGAAGCAGCAGAACAAGGAUCCUAGUGCAGACGGAUGGAACCUCAACCACUGCACAUACAGCAUCUCAGGAAGCUCUGGAUAAAUGGCAGUUCCUGGUAUUAUGCUUGUGGAAGAAGUCAAUAAGAUGACCCUUAAAGUCUUAUGCAAAUCAGACACCCCAGAGCUCUAUGAGCUUCUUUCCCACCCAGCUUCCAGGGCUUCCCAGUGCCCAGGUAUGAAAGAGAAAGGGGAGAGAGAUGUGGAGAAUCACAGGGAGGAGGUGCUGAGCACUCAGCAGAGAAAGUGGAUGCCACUGAUGGUGAAGGGAAUGGUAGGUGGGCUCUGGCAACUACUGCAGCUGGUGACAAGCUGGAGAAAUGAAAAGGGAGGAGGAGACAGGUAGCUGAUGCUGGGAAAGAUUGAAGGCAGGAGGAGAAGGGGACGACAGA